GCGAGGGGAGAAGGGGUCCCGCCUCCUGGCCGCGCCGCCCUAGGUGUCGCCGCCUGGCGGUUACGAGGAGGCCGCCUCCUGCUUGCCGGCCUGGCGGUCCUACUCAACACCGCAAGAUUUCAAAAGGGAAAUUCCUCCAGGGCUGAGUCACAGGGAAGAAAGCCAUUUCCUCCGCCUCUUCCAAAGCGGAUUUUAUAACUUGACAGCGUGCUGGAACUUCUCUGCUGGACUCCUGGACUCCCACAACGAAAAACAGAAGAAAAGAGGAGAGCUUGGAAAACCAAGAAGAAAAAGAGAAAAGAAGGCCGAAGAGGAGGUUGAGUCCUUACUCCAUGCUGUGUACUUGGCAUCUCACAGGCUGUUCUUCCCUUUCAGUAAGAAGAAAGGAAUUGUAUCAGCAAGUAGAGAUGAGAUUUCACCAUGUUGGCCAAGCUGGUUGCAAACUCCUGACCUUGUGAUCCGCCCACCUCGGUCUCCCAAAGUGCUGGGAUUACAGGCGUGAGCCACAGCGCCCAGCCUGUUGUUUUUGACUGAAGAAAGGUUUGAAGCAGUAUUUGCAGCUUUCCUCCUUUUUUUUUUUUUUUCCAACUAUACAUGCAGUGGCUGUUUCUCUGGAUCCAGAUGCAGCUCAUCCCAACCUCAUCCGAUCUGAGGGUAGAAGAUACACUUCUUCAACAGAGAAUGUUCCCCGAACUGGGAUGCCCCCACACACCAAGGACAAGGGGAAUCCAAAACCAUCUUCAGUGUUCUGGGUUUACCACAGGGGAGACAUUACUUUACCACAGGGGAGACAGACAUUACUGGGAGGUAGAAGUAAAUAAUGGGACAGAAGUUGGACCAGGAACGAGAUGAGCUCUGGGUGUUUGUUCAGCACAAUGAAGAGAGAGUGGUGGUUUGUAGAAAGUCCAGAGAAGAAUUUCUGCAUGGUGACAUGUGAAGAAGGAAGGGUCAUGGCUCUCACUUCCUGCCCAGAGACUCUGUCAGGAGCCUCCCUGUCCCCCUAGAAGGUUUCCAGGACAGCAAGGCUGGAGACGUGUCUUUUCACAAUGAGGUCGAUUAGUCCCACAUCUAUUCUGUUACUGGAAUCACCUUCUGUGGGAUUUUCCAUCCUUAUUCUAGCCUUCAGGGUGCUGGCACAUGUCUGUCCUUCUGCUUAGAUCAUCGUGAAAAUUGUCCUGAUUCUUUUCCAGUUACCUCUGUAACUUCUUUAACGAGUUGUGAUAGAGAUGUUGCCCAGGAAGCUAAUGUUCUAUUAGCAUAAUAAGCAGCGAAGUGUUGGCACCUCUGCUGUCUCCACUGGAGCAUCUUCUAGGUACAUUCACCAGGAAAGCUGUCCUUGGAUGGUUGUGGAGCUAGACAAAAAAGAAAAAAAUCACUGUCCUCAUGGAAGUUAAAUUGUACUGACAAAGGAGGAAAAUGUCAGGGAGUUAACAAUUCAGUCUCUGUGGCUUCCUCCUGUCCUCUCCCUGAAACUGAGAUCCAGCCAAUCUGCACAUCUAUUCUGAGAGUGGCCCCGCUUUAAUGACUACACCCAGCUGUCUACACACCAGGAGGGGAGGGAACUGCAUCCUGAGGCACCAACCCGAUUACCCACCCAACAGCCACAGGGACUUCCAGUGACUGGGGCAUCAUCCUCACGCCACCAACCCCUCUCCUUCCUGUGGCUUUUCUAACUGGAACUGGAACUCAGAAAGUACAUUAAUCACCAAUUUGGGAAGCUAUAGGAAAGUAUGUUUUCUAAUAUACAGUGAGAGAAUGUGACUGAUAAAAACCAAUUUUCUUGAGACUUUCUCCCUGGAAAGUGAAUAUAUUUAUUCAUAGGGCCUUCACAAGCACAGACUAACAAGCAAAGAGCUACAUUCACUAGGAAGGAAGACUCAAAAGUAAGUGAAAAAUAAUAGUUAACCUUUAGAUGUUGUGCAAUAAAUUAUUUUUAAUUACAUUAAAUCAAAAUAGUGUUAACAUAUUUUCAGGUAAACCUAGUAUAUUUACUAAUAAAUUUAAGUCUUCAUAAAUAUAAAGAUAGAUCAAUGUAAAUGUAAAAAUCAUUUGUUAAACUCCAGAGAUUAUAUAAACAAAAAGUGAACCUAAUGUAAAACUGUGGACUUUAGUUGAAAAUAAUGUGUCACUAUUCUUUCAUGGGCUGUAACAAAUGUGCCACACUAAUGUAAGAUGUUAAUAAUAGCAGAAAUAGGGGGGAGAGAGGAGGGAUCUAGGAGCUCUCUGGAUUUUCCAUUUUAUUUUGUUAUAAAUCUAAAACUGUUCUUAAAAAUAAUGUCUGUUAAUUUUUUUUAAAAAAAGGAAAGAAGCACUGAUACAUGCUAUGACAUGGAAGAACUCUAAAAAUAUUAGGCUAAGGGAAAGAAGCCACAUACACAUACACAGAUAGUUUAUGGUUCCAUUUAUAUAAAAUAUUCACAAUAGAAAAGUUCAUAGGGACAGAAAGUAGAUUACCUGGGGAGUAGGGGGUGAAAAAUGGAUAGUAACUGCUUAAUGGGUAUGGAGUUUCGUUUAGGGCGAUGAAAAUAUUCCAGAACUAGAAAGUGAUGAUGAUAGUCACACAGCAAUAUCACAUACACAAUACCACAGAACUGUACACUUUAAAAUGGUUAAAGGGUAAGUUUUAUUUUAUGUUAUGUAUUUUACCACAAUUGAAAAAAAUGUUUAUUAAAAUUAAUGUGCAAACAUUUGUGGAAGAAUAAUGUGUAGUUUCUAACAUUUAUGUGUUUAAAUUUAUGAGUUUAAAAAUAGAAAAAAAAAAUGAUGGCCCAGAAGAGCAAGUCCAGACUGCUGUUCAUGAGUGAUCCUCACAGGACUGUGUUGCCUCUGACGUCGGCCAUCCUGGAGAGCAGCAGAGCAUCACUGGCAGGCCUUCGUCUUCUCACUUCAUAACAUUCUUUCCAAAAGUCUUGUUGACAUUCUUCUGUCUUCCACAUACAGUUUAUCUUCUUGAACUCAUUAUGACUUUAAAAUAUUUUUACUGUGUUACAGGUACUGCUUAUAUUUGUUUAUUUUAUAAUUAUUAAUUUUAAAUUGUGCACUUUAUUUUGCUCUAACAAUAAAAUUGACAUGUUCAUAUAGAUGAUACAUAAUUUUUCGCUUGGAUCGGAAAGUCUAAAACUUUUUUCCUGACUCAAUUUCCUGUAUCAACUUUCUCAAAAAGUCUGGAGGAGGGAUUUUACAACACUUCAUAAGAUUUUCAAGAUUAUAUUUUAGUGAUCAGAUUUUUCUCCCCCUUAUGCAGCUGUAUUUUCUCUCACUUUUUU